AAAAUGGUAGAAUGAAAGAAUUAUAAGUGGAACUAGAGAAUAGGAAAGCCGCGAACCAGUGCCCAAAAUGAGAAAGAAGGACAUAUAAAGAAAAAGACAAAUACACGUGAAAAAAACAGACUAGUGGAUUUAUGUCCCUGUUGUGUGACAUUUUCUU
ensembl:misc_RNA